rnacentral:rRNA from 1 species
GUUAUAUGGUCAAGUGAAGAAGCGCAUACGGUGGAUGCCUUGGCAGUCAGAGGCGAUGAAAGACGUGGUAGCCUGCGAAAAGCUUCGGGGAGUCGGCAAACAGACUUUGAUCCGGAGAUCUCUGAAUGGGGGAACCCACCUAGGAUAACCUAGGAAAGGCGAAAAGAACCCCGGAGAGGGGAGUGAAAUAGAACCUGAAACCGUAUGCGUACAAGCAGUGGGAGCCUACUUGUUAGGUGACUGCGUACCUUUUGUAUAAUGGGUCAGCGACUUAUAUUCAGUGGCAAGCUUAACCGUAUAGGGUAGGCGUAGCGAAAGCGAGUCUUAAUAGGGCGUUUAGUCGCUGGGUAUAGACCCGAAACCGGGCGAUCUAUCCAUGAGCAGGUUGAAGGUUAGGUAACACUGACUGGAGGACCGAACCCACUCCCGUUGAAAAGGUAGGGGAUGACUUGUGGAUCGGAGUGAAAGGCUAAUCAAGCUCGGAGAUAGCUGGUUCUCCUCGAAAGCUAUUUAGGUAGCGCCUCAUGUAUCACUCUGGGGGGUAGAGCACUGUUUCGGCUAGGGGGUCAUCCCGACUUACCAAACCGAUGCAAACUCCGAAUACCCAGAAGUGCCGAGCAUGGGAGACACACGGCGGGUGCUAACGUCCGUCGUGAAAAGGGAAACAACCCAGACCGCCAGCUAAGGUCCCAAAGUUGUGGUUAAGUGGUAAACGAUGUGGGAAGGCUUAGACAGCUAGGAGGUUGGCUUAGAAGCAGCCAUCCUUUAAAGAAAGCGUAAUAGCUCACUAGUCGAGUCGGCCUGCGCGGAAGAUGUAACGGGGCUCAAACCACACACCGAAGCUGCGGGUGUCACGUAAGUGACGCGGUAGAGGAGCGUUCUGUAAGCCUGUGAAGGUGAGUUGAGAAGCUUGCUGGAGGUAUCAGAAGUGCGAAUGCUGACAUGAGUAACGACAAUGGGUGUGAAAAACACCCACGCCGAAAGACCAAGGGUUCCUGCGCAACGUUAAUCGACGCAGGGUUAGUCGGUUCCUAAGGCGAGGCUGAAAAGCGUAGUCGAUGGGAAACAGGUUAAUAUUCCUGUACUUCUGGUUACUGCGAUGGAGGGACGGAGAAGGCUAGGCCAGCUUGGCGUUGGUUGUCCAAGUUUAAGGUGGUAGGCUGAAAUCUUAGGUAAAUCCGGGGUUUCAAGGCCGAGAGCUGAUGACGAGUCGUCUUUUAGAUGACGAAGUGGUUGAUGCCAUGCUUCCAAGAAAAGCUUCUAAGCUUCAGGUAACCAGGAACCGUACCCCAAACCGACACAGGUGGUCGGGUAGAGAAUACCAAGGCGCUUGAGAGAACUCGGGUGAAGGAACUAGGCAAAAUGGCACCGUAACUUCGGGAGAAGGUGCGCCGGCUAGGGUGAAGGAUUUACUCCGUAAGCUCUGGCUGGUCGAAGAUACCAGGCCGCUGCGACUGUUUAUUAAAAACACAGCACUCUGCAAACACGAAAGUGGACGUAUAGGGUGUGACGCCUGCCCGGUGCCGGAAGGUUAAUUGAUGGGGUUAGCGCAAGCGAAGCUCUUGAUCGAAGCCCCGGUAAACGGCGGCCGUAACUAUAACGGUCCUAAGGUAGCGAAAUUCCUUGUCGGGUAAGUUCCGACCUGCACGAAUGGCGUAACGAUGGCGGCGCUGUCUCCACCCGAGACUCAGUGAAAUUGAAAUCGCUGUGAAGAUGCAGUGUAUCCGCGGCUAGACGGAAAGACCCCGUGAACCUUUACUGUAGCUUUGCACUGGACUUUGAGCCUGCUUGUGUAGGAUAGGUGGGAGGCUUUGAAGCGUGGACGCCAGUUCGCGUGGAGCCAUCCUUGAAAUACCACCCUGGCAUGCUUGAGGUUCUAACUCUGGUCCGUGAUCCGGAUCGAGGACAGUGUAUGGUGGGCAGUUUGACUGGGGCGGUCUCCUCCUAAAGAGUAACGGAGGAGUACGAAGGUGCGCUCAGACCGGUCGGAAAUCGGUCGCAGAGUAUAAAGGCAAAAGCGCGCUUGACUGCGAGACAGACACGUCGAGCAGGUACGAAAGUAGGUCUUAGUGAUCCGGUGGUUCUGUAUGGAAGGGCCAUCGCUCAACGGAUAAAAGGUACUCCGGGGAUAACAGGCUGAUACCGCCCAAGAGUUCAUAUCGACGGCGGUGUUUGGCACCUCGAUGUCGGCUCAUCACAUCCUGGGGCUGAAGCCGGUCCCAAGGGUAUGGCUGUUCGCCAUUUAAAGUGGUACGCGAGCUGGGUUUAGAACGUCGUGAGACAGUUCGGUCCCUAUCUGCCGUGGACGUUUGAGAUUUGAGAGGGGCUGCUCCUAGUACGAGAGGACCGGAGUGGACGAACCUCUGGUGUUCCGGUUGUCACGCCAGUGGCAUUGCCGGGUAGCUAUGUUCGGAAAAGAUAACCGCUGAAAGCAUCUAAGCGGGAAACUUGCCUCAAGAUGAGAUCUCACUGGGAACUUGAUUCCCCUGAAGGGCCGUCGAAGACUACGACGUUGAUAGGCUGGGUGUGUAAGCGUUGUGAGGCGUUGAGCUAACCAGUACUAAUUGCCCGUGAGGCUUGACCAUAUAACACCCAAACA